rnacentral:tmRNA from 1 species
GGGGUAGACUUGGAUUUGACAGCAUGAAGAAUAGGUAUGUAAGCAUGUCGGGAGCAGUGAAACGGCCCGUAAAUCCCGGACACAAAAUUUUAAUUGGCGAAACUAAUUACGCUCUCGCUGCCUAAUCUUUAGAAGAUUCGGGGCUUAAUCUCUGCUCAAGGAGCGGAGACGAGACAUCCCGCCGGUGGUUCCACCUUAUUCCGGCCGACAAAUGGGGUGCAGUCAAUAUAAGGUUAGCCUGAACCGGCUUCGGGGGAAAGGCGAAAUUUUAGAAGCUAAGCGAUAGCUUGGGUGCCUCUUUCCGGUCUAUCGAUGAAAACCAACAAGCGGCUAAGCAUGUAGAAAGCAUAUUGAUUCCGUGUUUGGACCAGGGUUCGAAACCCUGCUACUCCACA